rnacentral:rRNA from 1 species
GCCUACGGGAGGCAGCAGUGAGGAAUAUUGGUCAAUGGUCGGGAGACUGAACCAGCCAAGCCGCGUGAGGGAUGAAGGUACAGAGUAUCGUAAACCUCUUUCGUCAGGGAACAAAGGCGGGGACGUGUCCCCGGAUGAGUGUACCUGAAGAAAAAGCAUCGGCUAACUCCGUACCAGCAGCCGCGGUAAUACGGAGGAUGCGAGCGUUAUCCGGAUUUAUUGGGUUUAAAGGGUGCGCAGGCGGUCUGUUAAGUCAGCGGUCAAAGCCCGGGGCUCAACCCCGGCCCGCCGUUGAAACUGGCAGG